rnacentral:rRNA from 1 species
AUUGAACGCUGGCGGCAGGCUUAACACAUGCAAGUCGAACGAGUGGCGGACGGGUGAGUAAUGCUUGGGAAUCUGCCUGAUAGAGGGGGAUAACUACUGGAAACUGUGGCUAAUACCGCAUACCAUAGGAUGAGCCCAUAUGGGAUUAGGUAGUUGGUGGGGUAAAGGCUGACCAAGGCGACGAUCUCUAGCUGGUCUGAGAGGAUGACCGGCCACACUGGGACUGAGACACGGCCCAGACUCCUACGGGAGGCAGCAGUGGGGAAUAUUGCGCAAUGGGGGCAACCUGAUGCAGCCAUGCCGCGUGAAUGAAGAAGGCCUUCGGGUUGUAAAGUUCUUUCGGUAGGGAGGCGUUAACUGCAGAAGAAGCACCGGCUAACUCCGUGCCAGCAGCCGCGGUAAUUG